rnacentral:misc_RNA from 1 species
AGGCGACUGAGACGCGCGCUGCACAUCGACGCCUCGGUCCUGCGCCUCGGGCCGAAUGCGCAUUUUGACACA